rnacentral:rRNA from 1 species
CGCGUAGGCGGGCCUUUAAGUCAGUGGUGAAAUCUCCCGGCUUAACCGGGAAACUGCCAUUGAUACUAUUGGUCUUGAAUUCAGUUGAGGUGGGCGGAAUGUGUCGUGUAGCGGUGAAAUGCUUAGAUAUGACACAGAACACCAAUUGCGAAGGCAGCUCGCUAAACUGACAUUGACGCUGAGGCACGAAAGCGUGGGGAUCAAACAGGAUUAGAUACCCUGGUAGUCCACGCCCUAAACGAUGAUUACUCGAUCUGUGCGAUACACUGUACGGGUCUAUGCAAAAGCAUUAAGUAAUCCACCUGGGGAGUACGACCGCAAGGUUGAA